GGGGAUGUACUGGUUUUGACGCUGUGAUCGGUAAAUCCGGGUUGCGAGUCCGAGCGCUGUUCUCGGUUAUCAACGAGCAUUUAAAAAGAAACGACAAAUCAAAUGUUGUUUAUGCUAACUUCGGUCGCGAAAGCAGACUAGCUGCCUAAUUGCAGCUAUUAGCCCUCUAGUAUGACCAGCUUGCCGUUGUGCUAGAUGAAAUUAUGCAAGACGCAGUGCGCAAAUGGUAGUAUGCGCAUCAAGACAACUACUAACGGUUCGGCUUCCGUAAAAAGUCUUUGAUUUAGAUUAGGUUAAGUAACUUUCCAUGCUGAGUCGAGAUAAUAAGUUACUACACUCGUAGAUAUCAGUUUUUAUCCACAAUGGACGUGGGUUCGACUCCCACCAUCUCCAGUU
rnacentral:tmRNA from 1 species